GCCGGGAGGAGUACGAGGAGAGGGACGCGGGAACGUGCAAGGAGUGCUAUGAAGAGGCCAGCGAGACGGAGGAGGAGCUGAAGCGCGAGAUCGACGACCUCAAGUCCAAGGUCGCCUUCCUCCGCCUCGCCUCCCCCCACGACCUCGUCUCCACCACCGACCUCGUCCUCCACGCCUCCUCCUCUACCUCCCCUUCCUCUCCCUCCAAUCCGAAUUCCUCACUCUGCACCACCCCCGCCGUCCCCGCCCACCGC
rnacentral:lncRNA from 1 species